UAGGGCGCCGAAAUGAGUGUCCUGUCUGAGCGUGCUCUCGAAGUUUCAGAAGUCUGCAUUCAGCGUUCUUGUACUGCCUUUCAUGUGACAAAGGGAUUUCAAAAACCGGCCUCCAGUUAGAAAGUUUUUUUUUCCGAGGUCUGCGGUUCCUGCUGCUCUGCGCUCCUAAGAUCUCUUUUCCGAUCCACUCCAGCAACUCAUCGUGCGUUGGCAAGUUUUCUCGACAAUGUGUGCUUUUCCUUGAACUUUAUUUUGAUACCCGUGGCUUGAUCUGUAAUGUCCCGAUUCAGUGCUGUAUUUGUUACCAGUGGCUUGAUCUGUAGUGUACCCUUUGUAUACCGAUUUAUGUUACUGUUAACCUGCAUGUUUCCUGUUGACUGCUGCCAUUGUAUGUGCUGCGGCUCCUGGUUCUCGGCGCUCCGACUAUCUCCGGCAAUUAAUUCUUGACUGUGUGCUUUUCCUUGAAUUUGUUUUUUAUAUCGGUGGCUUGAUCUGUAGUGUACCCUUUGUAUACCGAUUUAUGUUAUUGUUAACCUGCAUGUUUCCUGUUGACUGAUGUUAUUGUAUGUGCUGCGGCUCCUGGUUCUCUGCGCUCCGACGAUCUCCAG